rnacentral:misc_RNA from 1 species
AGAUGUUGGAAAACUGAGGCAGAUGCAGUGCAGCUUCUAUUCUACUGCUGAUGCUCUCACACAUGCAUACGUUAAUGGGAUGCUGAAGAAGGUAACAAGAUUGCUAAUUCUUCUGGUUGUCUGCUGCAUCUUUUACUCGGAUAAUUUUUGGUGUGUUUUGGGCCCAGAUGUAGAGGGUUGGGGCUAUUCUAAAAUCUCAGUAGGUUCGCUUAGUACAUUGUAUAUCAGUUUGAGCUGACCCUUGUAGAGUUGUAGUUGCUACACUUGACGAAUAUGAGGUUCAGUUACAGAAUCUCAGUUGCUUGUUUAUUAUCAUUUAUGGUUCAUCCACCUGCAUGUCAUGUAAUGAAUUUCUCUGUAAACCACAGUGGAGGUAGAAUGCUCUUGUCCAUAUGCUGAAAGUCACCAGCAGUUUAGCCUCGGCAUUAUUGAAGCAUGCUCAUUCAAGCAUUUUCUUUUGCUUCAAGGUUUUUAACGUGAUAUGCUUGUUUCUUUUACCA